rnacentral:rRNA from 1 species
UUAUGCUCUGUAAUUGGAAUGAUGGGAAUGUAUAACCCUUCCAGAGUAACAAUUGGAGGGCAAGUCUGGUGCCAGCAGCCGCGGUAAUUCCAGCUCCAAUAGUGUAUAUUAGAGUUGUUGCAGUUAAAAAGCUCGUAGUUGGAUUUCUGCUGUGGUCAUCCGGUACCGCCCGUAUGGGUGCGCACCUGGUUUGGCUCCGGCUUUCUUCCUGUAGCCGUCCGCGCUUAAUUGCGCGUAUUGUGUUACGGAACUUUUACUUUGAGAAAAAUAGAGUGUUUCAAGCAGGCUUGUCGCCCUGAAUACUUCAGCAUGGAAUAAUAGGAUAGGACCUUGGUUCUAUUUUGUUGGUUUCUAGGACCAAGGUAAUGAUUAAUAGGGACAGUGGGGGGCAU